CUGUCAAUCAACCCUCUGCUUUCUGUCUUCUUUGAAAGAGACAAUUGCUGAGGUUUUCUCUUUAGUAGCUAUGGUUGUUGAUGAUGCACGCUCCUUCUUAUAAUCAGUCAGGAGGGAAAGGAAGAAAUAGCUCCAUUUAGGAUGUUUAAGACAGGGAAUUGCAAGGCACACAGGAGUCCGUGGGAUCACAACUUGGAGCACAAGUCUUGAGCACACAGCUGGGAGAGUCACAGAAGGAUGCUUCACAGUAGGAGUCUUGGCAAUGGUCCAGAAGCCAGAGAUUGCCUUGGUAGCUGCUGGAAAAACGCCUCCUUUUCCUAUCAAACUCGUUGUCACACACCAGGAAGAGAUUCCAGCAGAGUGCAUUGUGUCCAAACUUCACUCAUUUGCUGCUACAUCGAAAGCACAAGCAGGCUGGGACUUGCAAAGUGACUUUAGAAACACCAAGGAUCCAGAGAACAGAUGCCUAUGGAAAUGUGCUUUGUUGGACUGUAGAAAUGGCGUUCUGUGUUUAGCAGACAUUCCAAAGUACUUCCUCAAUAAAUGAUGCUGA
rnacentral:lncRNA from 1 species